rnacentral:lncRNA from 1 species
UUCCAAAUUAAAUUGUAUUUAAUAUGUCUUAGGGGAGCUCUCUAUUUUUUUUUAAUGUUUCAAUAUGAGAAAGAGGGAAGGGAAGGUCUCAAGAGGAUGGAUCCCCCCAUUACUUUAUUGCGCUUUCUAAAAGAGGGUAAAGCAAGAUUAUCUGAGGGAAUCUAAUCUAAUCAUGUGAGCCCUUUAAAUGCUGGCAAGAAAAAAAGAAAGUCAGAGAGAUUUGAAGCACAGGGGGGAUUCAAUGCAUCCGUACUGGCUUGAAGAUGAAGGACUCCCCUAAGAAGGAAUGUGGGUGGCCUUAGCAGCUGAGAGAGGCCCCAGCUGACAGCUAGCAAGAAAAUGAUGACUGCAGGCCAGGUGCGGUGGCUCACGUCUUUAAUCUCAGCACUUUGGG